CUUUAAAAAUUAAAAAUUCACCAAACCAGAAAAUGAUUAUCCAAACAUCAGACACACAAAUGUUGCUUUUUAAAACCAUUCCUGAUGUCAGACAGUUUAAAGAAUGACUUGAAUUUGUUUUAUAAGUCUUUAUGUUUGGUGAAGUCAAAAAUCUCUUUCCUGAAGUUUCACACUUUAAUGUUCUGUUUCAUUUAUUUAUUCCUAUUUUAUUCAUUUCUAUUGUAACUCCAGCUGCCUGCUAAAAUCUACAUGUUUGUUGUCUCUGUUGUUUUGUGUCGUUUUCUUCCAGCUGCUGUUUGGUUCUGUUGGCCUCCAUGUUUGUACUGUGAACUCAUAAUGUGGACAUUAUGGACCUUGAUGGACUCGACUGUAUGUCUUCAUAGAAAUAACAAGAAGCAUGAAAGCUGUUGUUUGACUCCAACUGGCUUCAGUAAAGAGUCGACAGAAGCUUCUGGUCUGGGCUCUUAUUUUGGAGGGUUGAUCUGAAUGUCGACUCCAACAAGGUCGGCCAUUUUUCCUCCUCAGAACUUAAAUCCAUGCAGACAAUCAUCCUGGUUCUGCAGAUAAAGAUCGGAGCGCUGCUGCUGCACUCUCCUCCGCCAGCUUCCUGGUUUCUAUGGCAACGCCUCAGUUUAGUAUUAUCAUCCAAACACUCGCCUGAGCAACAAUAAGGCAUCCAGACGGAAAAAGAAGUUCUGAACUUUGAGAUCCGGAGCUCAGCAGGAAAAAGUUUCUCCUGUUAGAGAACCAGAGGAAACGAGCCGAGAGAAAACCGAGAGAAACAUCGUUAAAACUCGCAGAGAUGGAAACGCAACUAAAAACAUGGAGACACGGAUCAGGAAGUCAUUUAGCCGAGGAGAAGGAAACCUCUGCUGCACUGUAAAAACUACAAGAAUAAAGUGUUUUUACAGGAAAACAGCUGAAAUGACAGAUGUUAAAUAAUU